AGUGAACGCUGGCGGUAGGCCUAACACAUGCAAGUCGAACGGCAGCACAGUAAGAGCUUGCUCUUACGGGUGGCGAGUGGCGGACGGGUGAGGAAUACAUCGGAAUCUACUUUUUCGUGGGGGAUAACGUAGGGAAACUUACGCUAAUACCGCAUACGACCUAUGGGUGAAAGCAGGGGAUCUUCGCACCUUGCGCGAUUGAAUGAGCCGAUGUCGGAUUAGCUAGUUGGCGGGGUAAAGGCCCACCAAGGCGACGAUCCGUAGCUGGUCUGAGAGGAUGAUCAGCCACACUGGAACUGAGACACGGUCCAGACUCCUACGGGAGGCAGCAGUGGGGAAUAUUGGACAAGGGGCGCAAGCCUGAUCCAGCCAUACCGCGUGGGUGAAGAAGGCCUUCGGGUUGUAAAGCCCUUUUGUUGGGAAAGAAAAGCAGCAGGUUAAUACCCCGCUGUUCUGACGGUACCCAAAGAAUAAGCACCGGCUAACUUCGUG
rnacentral:rRNA from 1 species